rnacentral:lncRNA from 1 species
AUGUGCUUCUGGUUUGGGGUGCGUGCUCGUGGAGGUGAGUCACUGCCGAGCACCUGGGCCGGCUCCCCUCCUGUCCUGGGGCCCCCCGGGUCCCCGAGGCGAGGGGAUGCUCUGCGUCUGUAUUCCAUCCCACCUUGCCACAGGCCCCAGACAAGCUGCCCACGCGCAGGAGAGACCUGGAAAGGAGAAUCCACGCUGGGCAGCAUGGUCGGUGCUCUUCCCGAGCGAGGCAGUGCUUCCAAGCCAGGCUGUUCCUCUGUGGGGUGUGUGUCCCCUGAAGGUAACCAACUGAACAGCGGGGCUCCAGCUUCGGCCCAGACACAGUCCGUAGAUGUUGGCUCCAGGUCACACGGGCCCCAUGUCUUCCCAGCGGUAGAUCCUGGCCAGAGGCCUCCCCGGAGCAGAACAUCAGCUGCCCCGCACCUGUGCCCCCCGACCUCUCGGGGACCCUGGCCCGUCGUCUGCCCAUGCAGGUGCCAAGGCCUGAUGCUCCAGUUGAGCAAUGUCAUGAAAGCCUCAAGGGACUUUCAAGAUAAAGUCCAGACUUGGUGGAGCUGUGGCCAAUCCCGCCGCUGCCUUCUCCUCAAGUGCAGCUUUGGCUUCUGCGGCACCAUCCCUGGACUAGGUAAAUACUGUCCCAUUUCUCAGAUGGGAAAGUGCAGGCUUAGGGAAAUGAAAUGAUUGGCCCAGUGUCACCCAGCUAGGGAGUGGAAGAGCUGGGUUUUGUACUGGGGCAGCCAGAUUCAACUCCCAGGCCCAGGAGUGUAGGAAAAAAUCUUCCCUCUACCAAGAGAGGCCCCGCUGUCCUGUGGCCUGGUCACCUCAGCUGAGCAGGGUGUCCGCUCAGUCUCAGGCACCCUGGCAGCCUGGGGAUCCCAGCUACAGUAGGCAGAGGGGCGCUGGGAGGUUCAGGGAAAGCAGCCAAUGUUUCCUCAUUUGGGGUCUUUCCUGUAAGGUGAAUAGGCCGUCAGGAUCAACUUGGAGACAAAACUUGCUCUUCCAGAGGGGAAACUCCAGGGCCACCGGGAACACCGGCUGAUGGGGGUGCGCUAGGAUGCAGGUGGGCAUGGCGGCAGCAUGAGGUCAGGUGCCACACAGACAUCCCACAUGGGUUCCCUAUAGGACAGGACAAGGAAGCUGCAAGGGCCGAGGGGCAGCGUGCAUCUGGUGGGUUUGAGUCCUCCAGAGGCAGAGCCUGAGGCAAGGAUCUGGGUGGAGGUAGCCGAGUGCGGGGUGGGGAGGGUCGUCCCAGACGUCUAUGGUCGUCAGAAUAAUGGCCCCAAAGGACAUCUCCGUUUGAAUCCCUGGAACCUGCCAGUAUGUGACCUUACAUAGCAGAAGGGACGUGGCAGGUGCAAUUGGGUUACAAAUUUUAAAACAGGGAGAUUGUCUUGGGUCAUCUGAGCAAGCACAGCAUCACCACAGGGCCCUUGAAAGAAGGAAGAGGGAGGGGGUUGAGGCUGCGUCCCUGCCCACUUUGAAGAUGGAGGCAGAGGUCAUAAACCCAGGGAUGAAGGCACCUCCAGAUGCAGAAAAAGACAGAACAGAUUCUUCUUACAGUGUCCAGAAGGAGCACAGCCCGGCCGACACGCUGAGUUUGGGACUUCUGUUUUAUGUGGUCGGAAAUCAGGACGCUCGUGGUCACUUGUUGUCCACACAGAGCCCGGACGAGGCUGUGGGGAAGGGAGACAGGCCAAAGGGUUAGUGAAGGUUUCUGGUAACUGUGCAGGAUCCUGCACAAGCCCCAGCGGGGGCUCUCGGAGGAACCGCACAGACCACACGCUAGUGCCUGCGUCCUCAGGACACCCGCCUGAACGGCUUCCCCCGACGGGGCUUCCCCGCACCGGGCGGGCACCGUCCCCUGGUCCAGGCUGAGAAGCAGGGACAGGCGUGCCAGCCGAACUCCACCUGGGUGCCGUGUCUUUGUUCCCUGGGCACUAUUUUACGAAUAUUUUUCUUUAAAUGGGCUCUCUAUAGAAGACAUUUAGCUAUAGAAAAGGAACCCCAGUAUCAGUAAUAGUUCUGAAAAGUGAUAAAUUUGAUAUUUAAUUCUGCAUUUUUUUCCUAAUGAGCAUUAAAAGAAAUCUAUUUACCAUUAAAAUAAAAGCUUUGCCCAUUGACCACCUAAAAUUACUUUCCCUUACCACCCAAGAAUCCAUGCUGUACCUUUUAGAAAGCUGCGCUUUCUUGUCUGUGUCCCCAAAACAACCCAUUUUAUGGAUGGGGAACUGGGGUCAGAGAGGUUAAGUGAUUCUCUUAAAGACACACAGUAAGUGGCUGAGCCUACAGGUGCCCCAGUCUCCAAGCCUACAAUCUUUCUACUACCCCGCACACUGCCUAGGAAAAAUCACAGUCGCAUUGAGGCAUCUAGCUUGACACCAGGUGAUGUUCUAAGGGCUCCAAACACAACAAGGCAUCGAAUCCCUGCCUAUGCACCACAGCUCCCAAUUAGUAUCCUUGCUGUAUUAUUUUAUCACAUGUACAAGAUUUUGUGCUAUUUUGCUUAUGUCUGUGGCCUGUAUCAC